AGAGUUUGAUCAUGGCUCAGGAUCAACGCUGGCGGCGUGCCUAACACAUGCAAGUCGAACGCUCUGCGCAAGCAGGGAGUGGCGGACGGGUGAGGAACACGUGGGUAUCUGCCCUGAGGUGAGGAAUACCGGCGAGAAAUGGCCGACAAAACCGCAUAGCCUCUGUCUUAGGAGAGAGGAAAGUCGCAAGACGCCUGAGG
rnacentral:rRNA from 1 species